rnacentral:rRNA from 1 species
UGUGUAGGUGGCCUGUUAAGUUCCGUGUGAAAUCUCCCGGCUCAACCGGGAGGGUGCGCGGAAAACUGGCGGGCUAGAGUGCGGGAUGGGAGAGUAGAAUUCCUGGUGUAGCGGUGAAAUGCGUAGAUAUCAGGAGGAAUACCGGUGGUGUAGACGGCUCUCUGGACCGUAACUGACACUGAAACACGAAAGCGUGGGUAGCAAACAGGAUUAGAUACCCUGGUAGUCCACGCCCUAAACGAUGCACGUUUGGUGUAGGUCAUUCAGUUGAUCUGUGCCGGAGCUAACGCGUUAAAUGUGCCGCCUGGGGAGUACAGUCGCAAGGCUGAA